rnacentral:rRNA from 1 species
UACGAAGGGGGCUAGCGUUGCUCGGAAUUACUGGGCGUAAAGGGUGCGUAGGCGGUCGGGUAAGUCUGAUGUGAAAUCUCACAGCUUAACUGUGAAACUGCAUUGGAUACUAUUCGGCUUGAGAGUUGGAGGGGGGACUGGAAUUCUUGGUGUAGCAGUGAAAUGCGUAGAUAUCAAGAGGAACACCAGUGGCGAAGGCGAGUCCCUGGACAACUUCUGACGCUGAGGCACGAAAGCUAGGGGAGCAAACAGG